rnacentral:rRNA from 1 species
AUUGAACGCUGGCGGCAUGCUUUACACCUGGAAGUCGAACGGUAACAGGGUGCUUGCACCGCUGACGAGUGGCGAACGGGUGAGUAAUGCGUCGGAACGUGCCGAGUAGUGGGGGAUAACGCAGCGAAAGUUGCGCUAAUACCGCAUACGUACUGAGGUAGAAAGUGGGGGACCUUCGGGCCUCACGCUAUUCGAGCGGCCGACGUCUGAUUAGCUAGUAGGUGAGGUAAAGGCCCACCUAGGCGACGAUCAGUAGCGGGUCUGAGAGGAUGCUCCGGCACACCGGGACUUGGACCCGGCCCAGACUCCUACGGGAGGCAGCAGUGGGGAAUUUUGGACAAUGGGCGAAAGCCUGAUCCAGCCAUGCCGCGUGUCUGAAGAAGGCCUUCGGGUUGUAAAGGACUUUUGUCAGGGAGGAAAUCCCUAGUGCUAAUAACACUGGGGGAUGACAGUACCUGAAGAAUAAGCACCGGCUAACUACGUGCCAGCCGCCGCAGUAA